rnacentral:SRP_RNA from 16 species
UGGCGGGUUAGUCCGGGUGGUUCGGCGUCACCUGUAACCCGAAAUCGCCGAUAUGCGGGGGACAAAGCUGGUGGGCGACUUUAUGCGCCGUGUAUUCAGCCCAUCUGCGUACAAUGAUUCUCCGUUCUGUAGGGACGGCAUCGGUCAGGGAGUCAGCCGGAGGGCGGGCUCGCUGGCCCUAACUGCAGGCACCGGUUCAGGCCCGGAAGGGAGCAGACCCACUGCGGGUAACCGUCGCUUACAGGAUCGCGGGGAGGAGAAAGCAGAUGGAUCAACUGGUACGCGGUGCUUCUGGCAACCUCCAGCGCACCCGCCA